UGCAGUCGAGGGGCAGCACAAUGGUAGUAAUACUAUGGUGGCGACCGGCGCACGGGUGAGUAACACGUAUGCAACCUACCUGUAAGCGGGGAAUAACCCGGAGAAAUUCGGACUAAUACCGCAUAAAACUGCGAUACUGCAUGGUAUUGCAUUUAAACAUUUAUGGCUAACAGAUGGGCAUGCGUAUGAUUAGAUAGUUGGUAGGGUAACGGCCUACCAAGUCCACGAUCAUUAGGGGUUCUGAGAGGAAGGUCCCCCACAUUGGAACUGAGACACGGUCCAAACUCCUACGGGAGGCAGCAGUGAGGAAUAUUGGUCAAUGGGCGAGAGCCUGAACCAGCCAAGUCGCGUGAAGGAAGAAGGUUCUAUGGAUUGUAAACUUCUUUUGUAAGGGAAUAAAAAGAGCUACGUGUAGCUUAUUGUAUGUACUUUACGAAUAAGGAUCGGCUAACUCCGUGCCAGCAGCCGCGGUAAUACGGAGGAUCCAAGCGUUAUCCGGAUUUAUUGGGUUUAAAGGGUGCGUAGGCGGACCCGUUAGUCAGUGGUGAAAGUUUGCAGCUCAACUGUAAAAUUGCCAUUGAAACUGCGGGUCUUGAGUGUAAAUAAAGGUAGGCGGAAUGUGUUG
rnacentral:rRNA from 1 species